rnacentral:misc_RNA from 1 species
AAGUCGUAACAAGGUUUCCGUAGGUGAACUGCGGAAGGAUCAUUAACACGUAUCCAAACGUUAAACUCCCCUGUGAACCUUCAGUGUACUCGUACGUCCGUAGAAAAAGCAGCAAUCCCUGGUAAAUCAUCGCCGACGUCUGCAAGGAGCGUGCAUGUUGUGCGAAGCAAGUGGCCUGGCAUCCCCAAGCAGUUAGUGUCUGAAAGUGUCAUUAACUGUGUAAGGAUGACAGGCCCACACGGCCGACGACCGGGUCACUGGGCGCAAGCCCCCCUCUAACAAACGCUGCUGUUAACAAUGGAUAUCUUGGUUCUC